rnacentral:rRNA from 1 species
GACGAACGCUGGCGGCGUGCUUAACACAUGCAAGUCGAACGAUGAACCAGGGCUUGCCCUGGGGAUUAGUGGCGAACGGGUGAGUAACACGUGGGCAACCUGCCCCUGACACUGGGAUAACUCCGGGAAACCGGGGCUAAUACCGGAUACGAACCUCGACGGCAUCGUCGAGGUUGGAAAGUUUUUCGGUCAGGGAUGGGCCCGCGGCCUAUCAGCUAGUUGGUGGGGUAAUGGCCUACCAAGGCGACGACGGGUAGCCGGCCUGAGAGGGCGACCGGCCACACUGGGACUGAGACACGGCCCAGACUCCUACGGGAGGCAGCAGUGGGGAAUAUUGCGCAAUGGGCGAAAGCCUGACGCAGCGACGCCGCGUGAGGGACGACGGCCUUCGGGUUGUAAACCUCUUUCAGCAGGGACGAAGCGAAAGUGACGGUACCUGCAGAAGAAGCACCGGCCAACUACGUGCCAGCCGCCGCCGUAACAC